AUUUCUGAAUAAAAUAUAACACACAGGACCUCUGCUUUUGUACAUAAAUUAGUACCUUACUGGCUAGGGAAUGUUGAAUCACAGUUGGAUGAAGAAACAAUUCAUAUUAGUGUUUCUCUAAAGUGCUCACCUGCCUGAAAUGCUCUACAUCCUCCCUACCAAUAGACUGUUCUUAUGGUCAGCACCAUGGACAUCAUUUGCCAGCUUGUUAGAAAUGCAGAAUCUCAGCACGGAAUGAACAAUUCAGUUUGAAGAGUCUCGCUCUGUCGUCCAGGCUGGAGAGCUGUGGGGUAUCU